UCUGGGUCGCAUGGUUACUCGCCGUGGGUUGCNUCUUUCAUCGUUCAUGGUGUUGUGGCUUCCCGGUGGUGUAGUCGUGUAACCUUUCUGCCGUGUCUGUUUAAUACAGGUGCCGNNUUCGGCUGGCAUGCUUUCGGGUGCUCUUAAUUGGGUGCCCGGAGCGGACGGCACGUUUACUUUGAACAAAUUUGAGUGCUCNNNGCAGGCCGUAGAGCCUGAAAAGUCUUGCAUGGAAUAANNAAAUAGGACUUCGGUUCUAUUUUGUUGGUUUUCGGAUCCGAAGUAAU
rnacentral:rRNA from 1 species